rnacentral:rRNA from 1 species
UUUCGGGAUGAAGACUUUUAUGACUGAGUGGCGGACGGGUGAGUAACGCGUGAGGAACCUGCCUUUCAGAGGGGGACAACAGUUGGAAACGACUGCUAAUACCGCAUGACACAUUGGGGUCGCAUGGCCUUGAUGUCAAAGAUUUAUCGCUUAAAGAUGGGCUCGCGUCUGAUUAGCUGGUUGGUGAGGUAACGGCUCACCAAGGCGACGAUCGGUAGCCGACCUGAGAGGGUGAUCGGCCACAUUGGGACUGAGACACGGCCCAAACUCC